AAAGCAUUGGUAACGUUGACUGUGUUUUUUGUUCCGCGAAAUUUCUUUAUAAUGCCGUCCUGUGUUAUGCGACACUGUAGAAACUAUACAAGAAAGACUCCCAAAAGUCUAGGGAUGACAUGUCAUGCGAAAGUUUCCGGCAAAUGUAUUAAGAUGUAACCAAUGGAUAAAUAUUGUACGUAGACAAAGACAUGAAGCGGAUUGGCGGCCAAAUAAUAAUGAACUAAAUGAAAAUAAAAAAAUUAAAUUAUUUGUCCUUUGCUGUUUUAUUUCUUAAAAGAAGAGUCAGGAGUUCAUUUUAAAUAUAUCAAUUCUGCUUACUAAACCGUAGGCAUCAAAUAAUUUUAUGUUAGUUCUGUGACAUUUUAAUUGUUAAUCUAUGAAGUAAGUCGUGACAUCGCAACGACACUGCGUAAUAUA